rnacentral:rRNA from 1 species
UACGGAGGAUCCGAGCGUUAUCCGGAUUUAUUGGGCGUAAAGGGUACGUAGGCGGAUAAGCAAGUUAGAAGUGAAAUCCUAUAGCUCAACUAUAGUAAGCUUUUAAAACUGCUCAUCUUGAGGUAUGGAAGGGAAAGUGGAAUUCCUAGUGUAGCGGUGAAAUGCGCAGAUAUUAGGAGGAAUACCGGUGGCGAAGGCGACUUGCUGGAAUCUAACUGACGCUGAGGUACGAAAGCGUGGGUAGCAAACAGG